UUAUCUGAUGUGUAUACCAUACUAGUUUACGCAAAACUCCAACAGGAAGCUAGGUCGCAACUAUACUCGUUUUCAGCUAAAACUCCUAAUACUUAUAAAUUUUUGAACCAAUUUAAAACUCUAAUAGUACCAAAAAACAUCUCAAUAAAGAAUUGGUCGAUAACAAGCUGUACGCUACAACCAUUGAAUUCUUCUGCUUCUUUUGAUUACAUUAGCAGCUCUUCUAUAUUUACUAAAUAGUGAACUCUAGUGAAGCAAAGCAACGAGCUCUAAAAAAGUUAGUAUGUUUACAUUGCAUUCCAUAAACAACCUUACCGAUACCGAUAGACUGCAGUGAAUUUACAUUGUGAUAUAUAUAAUCAUAUGUAGGAUUGUUUAUCGCAAAAAUGGUAUUAUGUACUCUUUAGA